UUAUUGCUAUAAAUUGUACAUUUGGGCCUUUAAUAUUAACGUGGCUGCGUAAACAGUUGAGCUUGUAUUAACAUGAAUCUGUCAAAACGUACGAAUGAUAUAAAUGAGAACAGGCUGUAAGACUCGGCAGAACUUAUUCAGUAACAUACUGUGUAAUAGAUUGGUCACAAAAAGACAAAAAGAGUACGAGGUGUAGCGCCUGACGAAGCGCUCUUGACCCGAAGCGGCCACUAGAGGGCAGUGUUCACCACUGUUUGGCGCCCUCUGCCACUGUGUUGUGUCUGGGGUUUCGCGGGCUUUUUCCACAUGAACAGAUGCAUUGUGGGGGGAAAAAGGAGGGGAGACGACCAACAAGCGCUAAGCUGUUGUAAUGUGCCCUGAAGUGACGGGACAGUUUCUAAUGUAGUGGUUAGAGCCGCUGCCUUUGCCCAUCAAAGGUCGCCGGUUUAAUUGUCACCUUCAUCUGUAGUACCCUUGAGUAAGGAUGCCUUUGAAGGGUGCAGUACGUGUCCCUUGCCGAUGUUUCUCCAAAUGAUGUCGCAAACAAACUAUAGCGGCGACGAGAGUGCAGUCCGGUGAACCAACCUGCAUCCUGCCGCUUCCUUGAGGGUUCCCAGGCUGGCCUCCUCCAGAAGGUCGUGACACCG